GCCCGGUUUCAUAUCACCCCUCCGGACUACGCGUCAGCUGCUCCUUGAAUUCUUGGUACACUUCGAGUUGAUCUCCCGCAGGUGAAUCAGCCAAACCGAGCACAUCAAGACUACAAAGCUUGUCGAAGUCGACACUCGUGGAGCUGGUAAGCAAUAGUGGAGCAGUAUCUACUUCUCUACCUGGUGACAUAAUCGUCCAACCGAGCCGGGUCUUUUCUGCGAUUGGAUGACCGGGUGAUCCGAUUCUUGGUGCAGUCUUCGUUUUAAUUGCAGCGUAUUCACUGGCGCCAAGCACAACAUGAACAGGUAGAUGUGGGUUGACAUCAACGUCGUUGAUCUGUACUCCAUUAAGAUGAGAGUGAUU
rnacentral:lncRNA from 1 species